UACGUAGGGGGCAAGCGUUGUCCGGAAUCAUUGGGCGUAAAGAGCGCGUAAGCGGCCCUGUAAGUCCGCUGUGAAAGUCAAGGGCUCAACCCUUGGAUGCCGGUGGAUACUGCAGGGCUAGAGUCCGGAAGAGGCGAGUGGAAUUCCUGGUGUAGCGGUGAAAUGCGCAGAUAUCAGGAGGAACACCGAUGGCGAAGGCAGCUCGCUGGGACGGUACUGACGCUGAGGCGCGAAAGCGUGGGGAGCAAACAGG
rnacentral:rRNA from 1 species